UACGUAGGGUGCGAGCGUUAAUCGGAAUUACUGGGCGUAAAGCGUGCGCAGGCGGUUUUGUAAGUCUGUCGUGAAAGCCCCGGGCUCAACCUGGGAAUUGCGAUGGAGACUGCAAGGCUUGAAUCUGGCAGAGGGGAGUAGAAUUCCACGUGUAGCAGUGAAAUGCGUAGAGAUGUGGAGGAACACCGAUGGCGAAGGCAGCCCCCUGGGUCAAGAUUGACGCUCAUGCACGAAAGCGUGGGGAGCAAACAGG
rnacentral:rRNA from 1 species